GUCUACGGCCAUACCACCCUGAACAAGCCCGAUCCCAUCUGAUCUCGGAAGCUAAGUAGGGUCAGGCCUGGUUAGUACUUGGAUGGGAGACCACCUAGGAAGUCCAGGUGCUGUAGGCG
rnacentral:rRNA from 1 species